AGUGAACGCUGGCGGUAGGCCUAACACAUGCAAGUCGAACGGCAGCACAGUAAGAGCUUGCUCUUACGGGUGGCGAGUGGCGGACGGGUGAGGAAUACAUCGGAGUCUACUUUUUCGUGGGGGAUAACGUAGGGAAACUUACGCUAAUACCGCAUACGACCUACGGGUGAAAGCAGGGGAUCUUCGGACCUUGCGCGAUUGAAUGAGCCGAUGUCGGAUUAGCUAGUUGGCGGGGUAAAGGCCCACCAAGGCGACGAUCCGUAGCUGGUCUGAGAGGAUGAUCAGCCACACUGGAACUGAGACACGGUCCAGACCCCUACGGGAGGCAGCAGUGGGGAAUAUUGGACAAUGGGCGCAAGCCUGAUCCAGCCAUACCGCGUGGGUGAAGAAGGCCUUCGGGUUGUAAAGCCCUUUUGUUGGGAAAGAAAAGCAGCAGGUUAAUACCCCGCUGUUCUGACGGUACCCAAAGAAUAAGCACCGGCUAACUUCGU
rnacentral:rRNA from 1 species